AUAUAUAAUAUCUGAACCCUUGCAUACAAAGGAGAUGUACAACAUGCCAUUGAGUCUUGGCUGUGUAUUUCAUACCUGCAACUACAACAAGCUACUGUAUGUGUGUCCAAGUUUAUUCAUGAGGAAUUCUGGCACAUGGCAAUGAGCACGAAUGGGCAGAAUGAUUUGUGUCGAACCUACUGCCUUUUCAUUCCAGAAAGGAAUGGCAAUCUUGGCCAGUGGUUCCCACUACACAAGGAUGCUACAAUCACUUAGUUAUAUCUGGAGGAUGAG